rnacentral:misc_RNA from 1 species
UUCCGUCAGUGACCAACAAUAGCUUUACUUCCUGUAUGGACACUGAUUUGAAUUUGGGGAUUACUGUGACCUGUUUUCGAACUUUUGCCGAUAUAUUCUACGUAUUGCAUAUUGUGGUCAAGUUCAGGACAGCUUAUGUAGCGCCCAGUUCAAGGGUUUUUGGAAGGGGUGAACUCGUUAUGGAUCCCAAAAAAAUUGCCAGGCGGUAUUUGAAAUCAGAUUUCUUCAUAGAUCUCAUUGCGACCUUACCUCUUCCACAGAUUGUAAUAUGGUUCAUCAUUCCAGCACUUAGAAGCUCCCAUUCUGAUCAUACCAACAAUGCGCUUGUAUUGAUUGUCCUGCUCCAGUAUGUUCCACGAUUAUAUCUGAUUUUUCCUUUGAGUUCUCAGAUCAUCAAAGCCACUGGAUUAGUCACAAAGACUGCUUGGGCUGGGGCUGCAUACAAUCUCCUACUAUACAUGUUGGCUAGUCAUGUCUUAGGGGCC